rnacentral:rRNA from 1 species
CCAGCAGCCGCGGUAAUACGUGGGGUGCGAGCGUUGUUCGGAAUUAUUGGGNGUAAAGAGCGUGUAGGCGGNUGGNUCAGUCAGAUGUGAAAUCCCUGGGCUUAACCCNGGACGUGCAUUUGAAACUGUCCAGCUUGAGUGCGGGAGAGGAAAGUGGAAUUCCUGGUGUAGCGGUGAAAUUCGUAGAUAUCUGGAGGAACACCCGUGGCGAAGGCGACUUUCUGGCCNGAUACUGACGCUGAGACGCGAAAGCGUGGGUAGCAAACAGGAUUAGAUACCCUGCUAGUCCACGCNGUAAACGAUGGAUAAUAGGUGUNGGNGGUAUNGACCCNNUCAGUGCCGCAGUUAACGCANUAAG